CAGAUUAGUGAUUCUUUUUCUAGCCUGAGAGGAGGAGAGGACGGCAUAAAUCCAGCCCAUUAGCCCCGAGGUCUGUCGGUGACAGUUCCCGCCCCUCGGCUGAUGUAAACCAAACUUCCUGUCCGGAGAUGAAGAAGCCUGUCAAAGCAGCUGUAGCCACCUCGACCCUUGUCACCCUCCCUCUGUGAUGCCCCAGGCAUUAAUAGCAAAUCAAUCCUAAGUGAGGGACAAGGGAAACGAGAAAGAAACAAAAGGAAGCGUCCAUCUCCGGUGGAGGGAUGUGCAGCGGCGGAGAUGCGCCCCAAUGUGUCCCGCCGAGGAAAAAUAACAGGUCCUGGUGUGGACAAGGAAGAUCACUAAGUCAAAAACAAGGACGAACCAACGCUGCACUCACACAUGACCGAGCUCUCAUUGGUGUAGCGGGACGAGAAGCGGCGGCCUGAUGCGGAUGCAGAAGAGGUAUUGGGACCGACUGUUCAUAGCCUGUGAAGGUCUCUCUGUGUUAGACAUUAUUCGCUUCUUUCAUGUCGGAUUUUUUGUUCAGGUUUCCAGUUAUCGGGACGCUUUCAGUCAAAAAAGUCUCCUCUUGUCACAUUAUUUUUCAAUUUUAUUAUUUUUCUCCAUAUUCCAUUUUCAUUUCCUCACUUCCAGUAGAGGGCAGCAUUUCUUUACUGGACGCGGCGGUUGACCUGUGCCAUGCGCAGUUGUCUGGCAUUUGAAGCUCUCCUGUGUAAUUUAUCGAGGAGGAGUACGCAGGCUACGGUCAUCGUCGUCAACGUCGAGAAGAUGCUGCUCAUUCCCUGCAAGCUUCUCAUCACUUCGGUCUCAUCUCUCCCACCUCACAAUGUUGCAAAAGGAAAGCUACGCAGAAUAAACUGUGGUGUCGUCACGUGGACUGUGAUUUAGGAAAAGUGCACAAUGCAAUUUACGGCAGACUUCACUUCCACUUGCAUUGUCUGAUGCCGUCUCGCUCUUCUUCUUGCCUAACUUUUUCGUUUCCCCCCUGUCCCUCUGUGCUCUACUCCACCCUGUAAUCACGCUGGUUCAUGGCUCUCAUUUGGAGCGGUAUAUAUAGCAGUAAUUGUCAGGGUGCAGUACAGAGACUGGGCAGGCCGUGUGUACUCUCUCACAGGGCUGUUUUGCAAUAAAUCUCAUUGUGGAGAGGAGAGGAUCGGUGUGGUGGUGGGGCAAUUUGUGCACAAACACUUGCGUGCAUACAAAGACAAGUUCACUUCCCUGCUAAAGCAAUACACAGUACGCACAGAGAAGUGUAUAACAAAGGAAAGGCAUUGCCCUAAUUUGCUAGUGUUCUCUCAGCGACCGUUCAUUUACUCUCCCGAUGGGCCUGACAUGGCAAGUGAAUGUGUCCCAUAAUGUGUUUUUCACUUGACAGGGUGAAAUAAUUAUGCUAAUUCAUUCAUUAAUCAUGAGACUAUCAGUAAAUAUUAACAAUCCCAGGCGAUGGGUUCAUCGGGUGGUCUGCUUACGAAUCACAAGCACCUAGAAACUAAUUUACAUUCUGUGCAAGUGGAAAUGAUAAUUGUUUGAAAGUGUAAGAAAACACUAAUGAGCAUUUAUCCGUUUCUCCGAUAUUACACGUCAUAAUGAAGGCAGCACAAAACCAGACAGAUCCAACAGGUUUCCUCAUUGAAGCAACCACGAGGCUUUUAGCAAAGACAUUUCUACUAAAUAAUAAAGUUCGAUCACCAGAAAAAAACUCACCCUGUCAGUCGCUCCCAAAAGAGAUGACGCCACAACCUGUUAUGCACUCAAGUGUUACGUGUGUGUGUGUGUGUGUGUGUGUGUGUGUGUGUGAAUGGGUGGGGGCUUUGGUUUGUUGUAGCUUGUACGGACAGGUCUGUCAUUCAGAGAGCGUACACAGUCUUCAUUGUGGAGCUGUCUGUGGUCCCCAUCAGGUCGGGGUGGGGUGGCGAAAGGGGGCCUCCCGAAUAACACCACGUGCAGCAAACAGGAAGCGGGCCGGCAAGGAUAGAACGAGAACUGCGCCGGGGAGCGUGCGUGAGUGGAGGUGGCUCGUAUGUUUCGUUUUCACCUCAGAUUCAUUUAUUUUUCCUCCUCUGAUUGAUCUCGAUCGAUGGUCCACACUUAAAGGCGACCCCUGACGCUGGUACAGUCACAGUCAUAUCUAAGUGACUUGUUAAAUAGAAGAAGUGAAAGUGGAUUAAUCUCCAGCCUUUAUUUUCUUCUUAUAAAAGUGCACAGUGUAAAUAUUCAUAUGAUCUGUGAAGCCCAAACUAGUGUGUGUGCCCUUGCAUGUGUGUUUACCGGAAUAGGCUGAGAGUUCAUGAAAGGAAGAUGGAUGUGUGUGAGGCCUCUCUAUGAACCCAGGUGCUCUGCCUUCAAAUAUCCCUUUCCUGUUUGCCCAGCAGCUGUUUCAUCUCAGCAAGUGACCACUUCACGGCUCCACUUGUUUUCUUUCUGGGCGGACAUGUCAGCUGUGAUCAAAUCAGACUUUUGUUAAGAGUAAAUGUCCUUUCCACACACACAGACGAUUACUCCACCCACUUUGAUAUGCUUGAAGUUGCCUGUUAAUUCUUGGACACGUUUGUGUAUUUUUGUCUGAUAUUUUCUCAGUUCCCACGAGGAGCAGUGUUUGCAAAAGAUUAAAUAACGGAAAAUCUAACAUCUUUGAAGGACUGGCUUGGGGCGGCAUCAUCUUUUUAGGGGAAGCCUUUUAAAAUGAAUUCUUUAAGCAUCAGAAAACCAGCGCAGAGUGCUUGAGUAACCAGUUUGAACAGGUCAGAUCACAAACCACAGAACGUAUCCGUCUUCUGGAUGCCGAGGAAUCAUAAUUCUACCCACUUU